ACGCGCUCUACGAAUGGGUUACGUAGAAUAGUCGGGCGAUUCGCCAGACUUUUAAUGAUUGAGUGCA
rnacentral:sRNA from 20 species